rfam:Picea glauca, whole genome shotgun sequence.
UUAUUAGAGCAUAGUGUUAAUGCAUCGGAUCCCAUUACAACUCCAAAGUUAAGCACGCUCGGGCUAGAGUAGUGUUGGGAUGGGUGACUUCCCGAGAAGUCUUAGUGUUUUACAUGC